rnacentral:rRNA from 1 species
CGCGUAGGCGGCCUGUUAAGUCGAACGUGAAAUCCCCGGGCUCAACCCGGGAACUGCGUCCGAUACUGGCAAGCUUGAAUCCGGGAGAGGGAUGUGGAAUUCCAGGUGUAGCGGUGAAAUGCGUAGAUAUCUGGAGGAACACCGGUGGCGAAGGCGGCAUCCUGGACCGGUAUUGACGCUGAGGCGCGAAGGCCAGGGAGCAAACG